CCUACGGGAGGCAGCAGUGGGGAAUCUUAGACAAUGGGGGAAACCCUGAUCUAGCCAUGCCGCGUGAGUGAUGAAGGCCUUAGGGUCGUAAAGCUCUUUCGCCAGGGAUGAUAAUGACAGUACCUGGUAAAGAAACCCCGGCUAACUCCGUGCCAGCAGCCGCGGUAAUACGGAGGGGGUUAGCGUUGUUCGGAAUUACUGGGCGUAAAGCGCGCGUAGGCGGACUAUUAAGUCGGGGGUGAAAUCCCGGGGCUCAACCCCGGAACUGCCUUCGAUACUGGUAGUCUUGAGUUCGAGAGAGGUGAGUGGAAUUCCGAGUGUAGAGGUGAAAUUCGUAGAUAUUCGGAGGAACACCAGUGGCGAAGGCGGCUCACUGGCUCGAUACUGACGCUGAGGUGCGAAAGUGUGGGGAGCAAACAGGAUUAGAUACCCUGGUAGUCCACACCGUAAACGAUGAAUGCCAGUCGUCGGGUAGCAUGCUGCUCGGUGACACACCUAACGGAUUAAGCAUUCCGCCUGGGGAGUACGGCCGCAAGGUUAAAACUCAAAGGAAUU
rnacentral:rRNA from 1 species